UGUUCCUGGUCUGCAGCGUCCUC
rnacentral:piRNA from 1 species